rnacentral:lncRNA from 10 species
CACAAACCCACAAAUUAGCCUAGGCCUACACAGGGUCAUGGUCAUCAACAUCACUGUCUUCCACCUCCCACAUCUUGUCCCACUGGAAGGUCUUCAGGGGCAGUAACACGCAUGGAACUGCCAUCACCUAUGAAAGCAACGCCUUCUUCUGGAAUCCUCCUGAAGGACCUGCCUGGGGCUGUUUUACAGAUGUCCCCAGCCCUGUGGCCAUCUCCUGCAGGGAGCGAUGGCAGAAUGAGGUUGUGGCCAUGCAUCUGAUACACACAGCCUGGAAUGCAGGGUGUGAUCUCAGCUCACUGCAACCUCCGCCUCCCAGGAUCAAGCAAUGCCCCCAACCUCAGCCUCCAGAGUAACUGGGACCACAGGUGAGUGCCACCACUCUUGGCUAAUUUUUGCUAUUUUUGGUAGAGAUGGGGUUUCGCCAUGUUGCCCAGGCUGGUCUUGAACUCCUGAGCUCAGGCAAUCCACUCAUUUUGCGGGAGGAUCGCUACAGACCAG